AGCAAAUCUAUACUGUGAAACUGCGAAUGGCUCAUUAAAUCAGUUAUCGUUUAUUUGAUAGUACCUUACUACUUGGAUAACCGUGGUAAUUCUAGAGCUAAUACAUGCUAAAAACCCCAACUACGGAAGGGGUGUAUUUAUUAGAUAAAAAACCAACGCCCUUUGGGGCUCCUUGGUGAUUCAUAAUAACUAAACGAAUCGCAUGGCCUUGUGCCGGCGAUGGUUCAUUCAAAUUUCUGCCCUAUCAACUUUCGAUGGUAGGAUAGUGGCCUACCAUGGUGUCAACGGGUAACGGGGAAUUAGGGUUCUAUUCCGGAGAGGGAGCCUGAGAAACGGCUACCACAUCCAAGGAAGGCAGCAGGCGCGCAAAUUACCCAAUCCCGACACGGGGAGGUAGUGACAAUAAAUACUGAUACAGGGCUCUUUUGGGUCUUGUAAUUGGAAUGAGUACAAUUUAAAUCCCUUAACGAGGAACAAUUGGAGGGCAAGUCUGGUGCCAGCAGCCGCGGUAAUUCCAGCUCCAAUAGCGUAUAUUAAAGUUGUUGCAGUUAAAAAGCUCGUAGUUGAACCUUGGGCCUGGCUGGCCGGUCCGCCUCACCGCGUGCACUGGUCCGGCUGGGCCUUUCCUUCUGGGGAGCCGCAUGCCCUUCACUGGGUGUGUCGGGGAACCAGGACUUUUACUUUGAAAAAAUUAGAGUGUUCAAAGCAGGCCUAUGCUCGAAUACAUUAGCAUGGAAUAAUAGAAUAGGACGUUGCGGUUCUAUUUUGUUGGUUUCUAGGACCGCCGUAAUGAUUAAUAGGGAUAGUCGGGGGCAUCAGUAUUCAAUUGUCAGAGGUGAAAUUCUUGGAUUUAUUGAAGACUAACUACUGCGAAAGCAUUUGCCAAGGAUGUUUUCAUUAAUCAGUGAACGAAAGUUAGGGGAUCGAAGACGAUCAGAUACCGUCGUAGUCUUAACCAUAAACUAUGCCGACUAGGGAUCGGGCGAUGUUAUUUUUUUGACUCGCUCGGCACCUUACGAGAAAUCAAAGUCUUUGGGUU
rnacentral:rRNA from 1 species